GGUCGAGUAGCUCAGUUGGUAGAGCAAAGGACUGAAAAUCCUUGUGUCGGCGGUUCAAGUCCGUCCUCGACCA
rnacentral:tRNA from 2 species